UCACAUGAAGCCGGUGCUGUCUGCUGUUC
rnacentral:piRNA from 1 species